CAUCAGUGACAGACGACAGUUGCUGAAGCGUGACGGACAGUUUGUGUCGUGAGGUCGUCACACCAGUCGUCGAUAAAUCUGUCGUCAGGACCACGUCAACACAACACGAGGAGGACGAGAGCAGAGCGUGUGUUGGCUUUGUCCAGAUGUAGAGAUGUACUCAACCUGACACUGACACUGACACCGACACUGAGACUAACACUGACACUGACAGUGACAGUGACAGUAACACUGACACUGACACCGACACUGAGACUAACACUGACACUGACAGUGACAGUGACAGUGACAGUGACACUGACACUGACACUGACACCGACACUGACACUGACACCGACACCGAGACAACAAAGUUUACUUGUGUCACAGGAAUCACCAGUCAUGACGAGAUAUCGGUACACAAAACACGUUCACAGUGACUACUCUGUCCAGUGACUAGCGCUUUGCUUCACAGAGAUGAGUUUCCUCCCCUCACAACGAAAGCAGACACACUGGAGUCUGUUCAGGGGAGACAACUAGUCAGUUAUGUCGCGUGGUCAGCCGUCUGCUUCACAGCAGACAAAGAGCAGGAGAGGGAAGGGUGGCAGUGGUGGACGACCUUCUGGAAGCGUUUACCUACACGCCGUCACUGAUAGACAGGCCACUCUUCUUGCUGACACGGCAACGACGAGACCGCUUUGGGAGGUAGAGAAAAGCUCGGGCGCUCGUGUCAUGCUGGACUCUAAGGCCUCACCUGUACCAGGUAUGAAGGUUGUCGUCAUCACUGGUCAUCCCUCGCAGAUCCACACAGCCGUCCGGCUCAUCAGUCACAAGACUGGCGCUCAGAAUAUAUGCCUCUGUGGUCUUGCUCUUCUGUUUCCAUAUAUCCUCCAGUCCAUGAUAACAACAGCAAGGGACAAGAUUGGAUGCUUGCCAGUCAAACAGAAAGAUGACCUCCCUUGAUGCGCCAGUGAGGUGCACGACCUCAGCUCUAUUGGUGUGGAGGAGAAGUAAUGUGACUUCAAGCUAUCGACGAUGUUAGCAAAGACCGUUAUAUUUUUAAUCCUGCAGGCAGCACGAACACUAGACAGAGUGCCGCUCGUCAUGCAUGUCCCCAUGAACGUGGAGAAAGACAGCAGAAAUGUUCGCACAAGGUUCACAAGAUCAGUCCGUACGAGAAACAAAGUGCACUAUCAGAGAAUAAAACAGUCCACACAGGAACAUGCGCAGUAAUCCACCUCGCGGACGACGACCAAUAAGAAAGGAACAUAUUUAUAAGUCUGCAUCAAUAAAAAGAAGCUAGAGAGAAUUAUUGAAGUCUUUCAUUUAUCCCCACAGAAAGGAGGGGCAUAAGCAUGUCUCUCACUACCCAUGAAAACCAUUCAGUGUUCCAGAGCAAAGUCCACUGCCUAAAACUGCGAAACAUCGUUUAUGACUGAACAAAUAUACGUUUAAGAACUAAAACAAAUUCCAGACUUAAUAAACAAUUACUUCUGUAUAACAUUUUGUAAAUUAAUCUUAUCUGUGUGUACCAAAGAUAAAGCACACAUUGAUUCCCAUCCCUAUAUACGCCGUUACAGCAAAAGUCUACUGAAUGAAUGAAGUGGAUGUCCACAUGUGUGUUGGAUUCCUGUCACACUAAGCAUCUUGAAAACCAUCUUUCAGCAAAGACUGAUAUAUUACCAAGAAAAAAGAAAUCCUUCUGGUUUAAUUUUUCGACAACUUGGUGCUAGAACAGCAACACGAACAACCAGAUGGCGUGUCACGAAAGUUUACAUGUCCUCCAGUCACACGUGGCUGCAUCCAUAUCCGAAUAUUGUUUACAAAGUCGAGACUGUGACCUCUUGGGAAAGCUGAGGCAACAGGUGUCUCCGUGCAGUCGUCACAUUCCUUCCAAGUACGAGCACAGAGAGGCAGCCAGGCAUCUGACAAUCUUUAAAUGCCUUCAAGCUGCGUUUAUUAGAGCUGCUCAAGUAAACACGUGGUAUAAGUACACAAGUAAACAUGAUAGUCACUACUACAAAGUUGUAGUCACGCUUGUAUGUGGCAUGUGUCGAUGUAAGAUUUGUUGAUGUGUUAGUGUGUACAUUAUAUGUCUGUAUGUGUAAUAUGCUCAUGUGUACAUUUCAUGUAAUGUGUUCUGUGUGACGUGUUACUGUUUGCUCUCGCUCACGUGUUCAGUGUCACAUCUUCAAAACAACACAUGAACUCUGACAGCCACCAGUACAAUGUCAUCAGCCGCUGUGCUUUAAUGAAACAGAUUCCUUUUUCCUAACAGAAAGAGUUUGUGUGUACUGUACACAAUUCUUGCUUUUAGGAGGCUGUGUGUGUGCGCGCGUUUUGGUGAGUGCGUGUGUGUGUGUGUUUUACGAUGAUAAACGGACCGCAAUCAUUGCUGUGGAGCAUCACAAGCAAAACUUCUGUGUCAAUAUUGUGUAUGUCAAAGUGACAUGUUCGUACCACAGGUAGAACACAUUUGGCUUCAUCACACGUGUACACCAGCUACGGACGUGCACGUGACCAGACGGCUGUCCGAAUCCCCUGUACAGAGUGGGACUAGCAGCCUGCAGCUGCAGACUUGAGGCCGACAUCCUGAGGGUCUCGUCUCCUCCAAAUAAGACCUCACAGAAAUGAAACAAAAGGUUUUGACAUCAAUGCCCUCAUCGGUGUCAACAUCGCUGCUACCUAAAGACCUCGGACUGUCCUCGUGUUGUAGCAGCUCAGUGGCAACGAGAGGAGCUUGGAGGACACUGUGUCAUCGGUCUAGUGAAUGUUUGUAUACAUUUGACAUUUUGCACCCUGCGGACCUAUAGCUCUGUAACUGGAAGGAUUGAAGGGCCGUGUAAUAGUAAACAACCAAACGUGAAACACAAGGUAACAAAUAAAUAACUAAGGCAGUUGUGAUACCUUGCAGUCAGUGGUGGUCUCAGUCGUUCUUCACUCAGCAGCUGUGUCAAGCAUCAGGUACCAGUUCCAAGCUGGAGUCCACUCCAAGUCCACAGGGACCCUCCUCUGGGCAGACGUGGACGGAACCUGUUGCCCGAAGCUUCAGUGCUCUUACACGAACCUUUAGGAGGUCCUGUCUACACCACGAGAGGGCAGCACUUUGCAAUAAAUAAACAAAUAUUAUUGAUACCUGAGCAUCAUGGCUAAAAUGUGGUGAAGAUCUUUAACAACCUCAAUAGCUCUGAAAUGGUAUUGAAACUGAUGUAUAAUAAACAAUAUGUAUCCAUGGUUACCAGACUAACAUGACCUUAACAAGCAAGGACAAGCUGUAAACCACGCCCACGAUAUGAAGACAAAGGUUUACCCUGUAACAACAAUAAUAUUAUAUAUAUA
rnacentral:lncRNA from 1 species